AACGAACGCUGGCGGCAUGCCUAACACAUGCAAGUCGAACGAGACCUUCGGGCUUAGUGGCGCAUGGGUGCGUAAAGCGUGGGAAACUGCCUUUAGGUUCGGAAUAACUCCCCGAAAGGGGUGCCAAUACCGGAUAAUGUCUCCGGAACAAAGGUCUAACGCCUUUGGAUGGGCGCGCGUUGGAUUAGCUUGUUGGUAGGGUAAAAGCCUACCAAGGCGACGAUCCAUAGCUGGUCUGAGAGGAUGAUCAGCCACACUGGGACGGAGACACGGCCCAGACUCCUACGGGAGGCAGCAGUGGGGAAUAUUGGACAAUGGGCGAAAGCCUGAACCAGCAAUGCCGCGUGAGUAAUGAAGGCCUUGGGGUUGUAAUGCUCUUUUACCCGGGAUGAUAAUGACGGUACCGGGAGAAUAAGCUCCGGCUAACUCCGUG
rnacentral:rRNA from 1 species